GGGGAAUCUUAGACAAUGGGGGCAACCCUGAUCUAGCCAUGCCGCGUGAGUGAUGAAGGCCUUCGGGUUGUAAAGCUCUUUCAGCUGGGAAGAUAAUGACGGUACCAGCAGAAAAAGCCCCGGCUAACUCCGUGCCAGCAGCCGCGGUAAUACGGAGGGGGCUAGCGUUGUUCGGAAUUACUGGGCGUAAAGCGCACGUAGGCGGAUCGGACAGUCAGGGGUGAAAUCCCGGGGCUCAACCCCGGAACUGCCCUUGAAACUACCGGUCUGGAGUUCGAGAGAGGUGAGUGGAAUUCCGAGUGUAGAGGUGAAAUUCGUAGAUAUUCGGAGGAACACCAGUGGCGAAGGCGGCUCACUGGCUCGAUACUGACGCUGAGGUGCGAAAGCGUGGGGAGCAAAC
rnacentral:rRNA from 1 species